UAUUGUUUUCCCCUAAAAUAUAUUGUCUUCUUGAUCCUCACUCUUAUUCUGUUAGGUACCUUGAGAAUGAAUGGAGAAAAAGAAAAAGAGCGGGAGAGAGGAGAUGAAAAAGAAAGUGAUGAGACAGAGGAGGAUGCAGAGGGGGCAGCCUUAUUAUGGCAAGAGGGAUACCCUGAUGAUGACCUGGGCUUACCCAUCAUGCACUGGGAGGAUCUGAGUCUCCGUAUUGCCGAACUUGAGAAGCAACAAGAGGAGCGAAGACAGAGGGAAAAGGACUUAGACAGGUUGACAGUAGACUGGCCAGAAAUCAGAGGGCUGAGCAGUCACAGAGGAACCUAUGAGGACAUGGAGGACGAUUGCAACAGUCGUCUGACUGCUCUGACAACAAGGCUUCAGAGCCAGAUGAAUCUACAGCUUUGCUUCAUCAACAACAGUGAAAGUGAAGAGGAAGAAGAGGAAAUGGAGGCAAAGAACGAGGUGGCAAAACAGUCCAGUAAGAGUGGCAGCAAUCAGAGGUUAGAGAAAGAACAUGGUUCAAGCUCUGCAUCGACUAAGAAAACCAAAUCAAGAGGGUUCAAGAAUGAUGUCAGAGCUGCACUGAGUGUACUCAGACAUAAAUUGAGAUUGGAGCACAAACAGACUAUACCUCCCAGUGAGGCUGUCAGAGAAAGGAAGCACUAUGAACAAAAUGACUUGAAGAAUUUCAGCUUGAAGAAGUUGAAAGCGCUGAGGACCUCACUAAGCAAAGACAUUCAUGACCUCAGUUCAGAGCUGGUGGGUCGACUUCUCACAAGGGACCAGCUGAGAACAGAGCAAGACGCCAUGCUGCUGGAGGUACAAGAUGUGACAUCACUCUGAUGAGUCAAAAAAAAAGUAUUUCCACUAAGGAACAAAAUGAAGGGACCCUUCCUUUACAAGACUGUCCGUGAGCUGCCUGAACUAAUUGACUUUACUGUGAAAAGCUACAGCACUCCUUCAUCACUUGAAAAAGACUUUUUCAUUAUAGAAUUUUUCUUGACAUUUUUAAGGCACCGAUGAGGAUUUAAAACUGCAGUUUACACUCUUACAGUUGCAAGAUCUAACUGAUAAAGCAACAAAGCGGUAAAAGACAAUAUACAGUAUGUCAUGACAUGCUCUUUUGCUCAAUAUUACUCUAAUUUGCUUAGUGCCAAAGCCAAUUAUGCCAAGCCUCACAUGUUAAGACAUGGCUCAUUAAAUGCUAUGUGUGCGUACAUACAUUGCCAAGCAACUCAUAACUGGAUUGUUUGUGUCACUGUUUGUGAAAUACUUAAAUAUUAUUUUGUGGAAUAAAAGGGAAUUCAGUGUGAUUGUAUAUGUGUUCUGUU
rnacentral:lncRNA from 1 species